rnacentral:rRNA from 1 species
GUGAUGGAGAGGGAUGUGGAAUUCCAGGUGUAGCGGUGAAAUGCGUAGAUAUCUGGAGGAACACCGGUGGCGAAGGCGGCAUCCUGGACCGGUAUUGACGCUGAGGCGCGAAAGCCAGGGGAGCAAACGGGAUUAGAUACCCCGGUAGUCCUGGCCCUAAACGAUGAAUGCUUGGUGUAGCGGGUAUCGAUCCCUGCUGUGCCGAAGCUAACGCAUUAAGCAUUCCGCCUGGGGAGUACGGUCGCAAGGCUGAAACUUAAAGGAAUUGACGG